CCUACGGGUCGCACCAGUGGGGAAUAUUGCACAAUGGGCGCAAGCCUGAUGCAGCCAUGCCGCGUGUAUGAAGAAGGCCUUCGGGUUGUAAAGUACUUUCAGCGGGGAGGAGGGUGUUGUGGUUAAUAACCACAGCAAUUGACGAUACCCGCAGAAGAAGCACCGGCUAACUCCGUACCAGCAGCCGCGGUAAUACGGAGGGUGCAAGCGUUAAUCGGAAUUACUGGGCGUAAAGCGCACGCAGGCGGUCUGUCAAGUCGGAUGUGAAAUCCCCGGGCUCAACCUGGGAACUGCAUUCGAAACUGGCAGGCUAGAGUCUUGUAGAGGGGGGUAGAAUUCCAGGUGUAGCGGUGAAAUGCGUUGAGAUCUGGAGGAAUACCGGUGGCGAAGGCGGCCCCCUGGACAAAGACUGACGCUCAGGUGCGAAAGCGUGGGGAGCAAACAGGAUUAGAUACCCGUGUAGUC
rnacentral:rRNA from 1 species